UUUUAGAGAAUGUAACAACGUAUACUGUAUGUACGGUAGAGUAUGGUACAGUAUGCUAUUAGCUUAUUACAACAGACUUCUAGUAAAUAUUUUUUUCGGAAGCACUCUUGAAAGUCCUCAUUCGGAACUUGACAGCAUCAUGUUUAUGAAGCGGCCAUAUUAUCACUGAUACUGCGGUUGGAACCCAGAUAAAUCAAAGAGUCAUACAUUUGUUUAUGAAUUGGUACUAACAGUGAAACAUUCCUAAAAGGAAAUUGAUAAGGAAGUAACGUGCAAACCAACAAAGUACCUGACAUGGUGGACCUUCAUGAGUUGAAGAUGUGGUUAUCUGAAAUUAUGGGUUAAUGAAUUUGAACAGCUUUUAAUAUACCAGCAGUUCCAACAGCAUGGUUCCUGCAUUCCAAAAAAAAGAGAUAGGAACAAACCAGCUAGUAUAGGCCAAAAGAACAAAGUACAGAACAGCGUUGUAACCACAGAUGGGAUUCAUUUAAUUGUUAGUCUGUUAAUUAAUUGAUAAAUUAGAUGUUUAAUUCUGAUAUAUAAUUCGUUCAUGGCAAAUAAGAAUGCUCUUCCAAA